rnacentral:rRNA from 1 species
AUUGAACGCUGGCGGCAGGCCUAACACAUGCAAGUCGAGCGGAGCGGCGGACGGGUGAGUAAUGCCUAGGAAUCUGCCUGGUAGUGGGGGAUAACGUCCGGAAACGGGCGCUAAUACCGCAUACUAUAAGAUGAGCAUAGGUCGGAUUAGCUAGUUGGUGAGGUAAAGGCCUACCAAGGCGACGAUCCGUAACUGGUCUGAGAGGAUGAUCAGCCACACUGGAACUGAGACACGGUCCAGACUCCUACGGGAGGCAGCAGUGGGGAAUAUGUGGCAAUGGGCGAAAGCCUGAUCCAGCCAUGCCGCGUGUGUGAAGAAGGUCUUCGGAUUGUAAAGCACUUUAAGUUGGGAGGCGUUACCAACAGAAUAAGCACCGGCUAACUACGUGCCAGCAGCCGCGGUAAUUC